AUUGAACGCUGGCGGCAGGCCUAACACAUGCAAGUCGAACGGUAACAGGAAGCAGCUUGCUGCUUUGCUGACGAGUGGCGGACGGGUGAGGAAUGUCUGGGAAACUGCCCGAUGGAGGGGGAUAACUACUGGAAACGGUAGCUAAUACCGCAUAACGUCGCAAGACCAAAGAGGCGGACCUUAGGGCCUCUUGCCAUCGGAUGUGCCCAGAUGGGAUUAGCUAGUAGGUGGGGUAACGGCUCACCUAGGCGACGAUCCCUAGCUGGCCUGAGAGGAGGACCAGCAACACUGGAACUGAGACACGGUCCAGACUCCUACGGGAGGAAGCAGUGGGGAAUAUUGCAAAAGGGGGGAAAGCCUGAUGCAGCCAUGCCGCGUGUAUGAAGAAGGCCUUCGGGCUGUAAAGUACGUUCAGCGGGGAGGAAGGGAGUAAAGUUAAUACCUUUGCACAUUGACGUUACCCGCAGAAGAAGCAACGGCUAACUCCGUG
rnacentral:rRNA from 1 species